GGUUAAGCGACUAAGCGUACACGGUGGAUGCCUUGGCAGUCAGAGGCGAUGAAGGACGUGCUAAUCUGCGAUAAGCGUCGGUAAGGUGAUAUGAACCGUUAUAACCGGCGAUUUCCGAAUGGGGAAACCCAGUGUGAUUCGUCACACUAUCAUUAACUGAAUCCAUAGGUUAAUGAGGCGAACCGGGGGAACUGAAACAUCUAAGUACCCCGAGGAAAAGAAAUCAACCGAGAUUCCCCCAGUAGCGGCGAGCGAACGGGGAGGAGCCCAGAGCCUGAAUCAGUGUGUGUGUUAGUGGAAGCGUCUGGAAAGGCGCGCGAUACAGGGUGACAGCCCCGUACACAAAAAUGCACAUAUUGUGAGCUCGAUGAGUAGGGCGGGACACGUGGUAUCCUGUCUGAAUAUGGGGGGACCAUCCUCCAAGGCUAAAUACUCCUGACUGACCGAUAGUGAACCAGUACCGUGAGGGAAAGGCGAAAAGAACCCCGGCGAGGGGAGUGAAAAAGAACCUGAAACCGUGUACGUACAAGCAGUGGGAGCACGCUUAGGCGUGUGACUGCGUACCUUUUGUAUAAUGGGUCAGCGACUUAUAUUCUGUAGCAAGGUUAACCGAAUAGGGGAGCCGAAGGGAAACCGAGUCUUAACUGGGCGUUAAGUUGCAGGGUAUAGACCCGAAACCCGGUGAUCUAGCCAUGGGCAGGUUGAAGGUUGGGUAACACUAACUGGAGGACCGAACCGACUAAUGUUGAAAAAUUAGCGGAUGACUUGUGGCUGGGGGUGAAAGGCCAAUCAAACCGGGAGAUAGCUGGUUCUCCCCGAAAGCUAUUUAGGUAGCGCCUCGUGAAUUCAUCUCCGGGGGUAGAGCACUGUUUCGGCAAGGGGGUCAUCCCGACUUACCAACCCGAUGCAAACUGCGAAUACCGGAGAAUGUUAUCACGGGAGACACACGGCGGGUGCUAACGUCCGUCGUGAAGAGGGAAACAACCCAGACCGCCAGCUAAGGUCCCAAAGUCAUGGUUAAGUGGGAAACGAUGUGGGAAGGCCCAGACAGCCAGGAUGUUGGCUUAGAAGCAGCCAUCAUUUAAAGAAAGCGUAAUAGCUCACUGGUCGAGUCGGCCUGCGCGGAAGAUGUAACGGGGCUAAACCAUGCACCGAAGCUGCGGCAGCGACGCUUAUGCGUUGUUGGGUAGGGGAGCGUUCUGUAAGCCUGUGAAGGUGUGCUGUGAGGCAUGCUGGAGGUAUCAGAAGUGCGAAUGCUGACAUAAGUAACGAUAAAGCGGGUGAAAAGCCCGCUCGCCGGAAGACCAAGGGUUCCUGUCCAACGUUAAUCGGGGCAGGGUGAGUCGACCCCUAAGGCGAGGCCGAAAGGCGUAGUCGAUGGGAAACAGGUUAAUAUUCCUGUACUUGGUGUUACUGCGAAGGGGGGACGGAGAAGGCUAUGUUGGCCGGGCGACGGUUGUCCCGGUUUAAGCGUGUAGGCUGGUUUUCCAGGCAAAUCCGGAAAAUCAAGGCUGAGGCGUGAUGACGAGGCACUACGGUGCUGAAGCAACAAAUGCCCUGCUUCCAGGAAAAGCCUCUAAGCAUCAGGUAACAUCAAAUCGUACCCCAAACCGACACAGGUGGUCAGGUAGAGAAUACCAAGGCGCUUGAGAGAACUCGGGUGAAGGAACUAGGCAAAAUGGUGCCGUAACUUCGGGAGAAGGCACGCUGAUAUGUAGGUGAAGCGACUUGCUCGUGGAGCUGAAAUCAGUCGAAGAUACCAGCUGGCUGCAACUGUUUAUUAAAAACACAGCACUGUGCAAACACGAAAGUGGACGUAUACGGUGUGACGCCUGCCCGGUGCCGGAAGGUUAAUUGAUGGGGUCAGCGCAAGCGAAGCUCUUGAUCGAAGCCCCGGUAAACGGCGGCCGUAACUAUAACGGUCCUAAGGUAGCGAAAUUCCUUGUCGGGUAAGUUCCGACCUGCACGAAUGGCGUAAUGAUGGCCAGGCUGUCUCCACCCGAGACUCAGUGAAAUUGAACUCGCUGUGAAGAUGCAGUGUACCCGCGGCAAGACGGAAAGACCCCGUGAACCUUUACUAUAGCUUGACACUGAACAUUGAGCCUUGAUGUGUAGGAUAGGUGGGAGGCUUUGAAGUGUGGACGCCAGUCUGCAUGGAGCCGACCUUGAAAUACCACCCUUUAAUGUUUGAUGUUCUAACGUUGACCCGUGAUCCGGGUUGCGGACAGUGUCUGGUGGGUAGUUUGACUGGGGCGGUCUCCUCCUAAAGAGUAACGGAGGAGCACGAAGGUUGGCUAAUCCUGGUCGGACAUCAGGAGGUUAGUGCAAUGGCAUAAGCCAGCUUGACUGCGAGCGUGACGGCGCGAGCAGGUGCGAAAGCAGGUCAUAGUGAUCCGGUGGUUCUGAAUGGAAGGGCCAUCGCUCAACGGAUAAAAGGUACUCCGGGGAUAACAGGCUGAUACCGCCCAAGAGUUCAUAUCGACGGCGGUGUUUGGCACCUCGAUGUCGGCUCAUCACAUCCUGGGGCUGAAGUAGGUCCCAAGGGUAUGGCUGUUCGCCAUUUAAAGUGGUACGCGAGCUGGGUUUAGAACGUCGUGAGACAGUUCGGUCCCUAUCUGCCGUGGGCGCUGGAGAACUGAGGGGGGCUGCUCCUAGUACGAGAGGACCGGAGUGGACGCAUCACUGGUGUUCGGGUUGUCAUGCCAAUGGCACUGCCCGGUAGCUAAAUGCGGAAGAGAUAAGUGCUGAAAGCAUCUAAGCACGAAACUUGCCCCGAGAUGAGUUCUCCCUGACUCCUUGAGAGUCCUGAAGGAACGUUGAAGACGACGACGUUGAUAGGCCGGGUGUGUAAGCGCAGCGAUGCGUUGAGCUAACCGGUACUAAUGAACCGUGAGGCUUAACCUU
rnacentral:rRNA from 1 species